rnacentral:rRNA from 1 species
UACGUAGGGUGCGAGCGUUAAUCGGAAUUACUGGGCGUAAAGCGUGCGCAGGCGGUUUUGUAAGCCAGAUGUGAAAUCCCCGGGCUUAACCUGGGAAUGGCAUUUGGGACUGCAAGGCUCGAGUGCGGCAGAGGAGACUGGAAUCCUGGUGUAGCAGUGAAAUGCGUAGAUAUCGAGAGGAACACCUGCGGCGAAGGCGGGUAGCUGGGCCGACACUGACGCUGGAUGCGCGAAAGCCAGGGGAGCGAACGGG